GCGCCUUUCCAGCCGCCCGUGGAGCCGGGAGCUACCCGCCGCCCCUGCUUCUCUUCCCCGGGAUCGGCGGCAGAAGCCCCGCCAGCAAUGUCGGAGCGCGGGACGGGGCAGCAGCCACUGCCCGGGGCGCAUGGUGACAAGAAGGCAAGUGGAGAUUCUUCCAAGCCAGGAGAGAAAAAAGCAGAAGUGACAGAGGAAAAAGAGGCAACUGCUAAUGUCAGCCAACCCCCCAAAACACAGUCAAGGGGAGCACCUUCUGCUGCUAAGCAGUCUCCCUCUGCGGAUGCAUCAAAACCACAAAUUAUGAAACCAUCUGAAACCAGGUCAGCACCAACAACCAAAGCAGGAUCUGAAAAAAACACCCAGUCAGCCAAGCCAACAGACUCUCAAAAUAAACAGCUGUCUGAAGAGAAGCAAAAGGAACCCAGUGAAGCAAAAAAACAAACCUCACCUUCUGUGACAACAGCUUCUAAACCAAAUAAUGCAGAAAAAGUAGCUACAACUCAGGCUGACCAGCCUCCACAACCAACCCCCACAGAGGCAGCAAAGGCUAGUAUGGAUGAGUCAGCACUGGACAGCUUAAUAGAUACCCUGGGUGGACCUGAAGAUGUGCCCACUACUCCUGUUUACACUGGUCCAGAAGUUACGGAAGAUGAUAUAUAUUCAAGAUACUUGGAAGAAAUGGGUAAACGGGAGGGUAGUCUCCCUCCAGAGUAUGUUAAAUUGUUGAAGAGCAAAGGCCAAGACGAAGUCCUACCAAAAGCAAAUGAACCAAACGAAAAACCAAUGACAGAUGAUGAGCUUGCUGAGACCCUGUCAUCUGACUUUACCUGUAGUACUGCUUCUGCUCAAGAAAAGAAGACCAGUCUGACAGAGAAACAAAGUAAGGAAGGAGAAAUCGUGCAAGCUCAAGCAGCAAGUUCAGUCAAGACCUCAGUUCCUCCUAAGGAGAAGAAAACAAAAUCAAAUGAGGAAAUUAAAGAAGAUGCAGUGGAAGCUCUCCUUGAUACUCUUGGAGGACCUGAACCUGAACCAGAGGAAGAUCCUAUGCCUGUUGUAGAGGCGUCAGAGGCAAAAGCUAAAGAGAAAAAAGAAAAAAAGGUUGGAGAACGUGAUGAUACAAUACCUCCAGAAUACAGGUUAACUCCAGAGUUGGAUAAGAAUGGAAAACCAAUAUUACCGAAGCCUGAAGAAAAACCAAAGCCUCUGAGUGAAUCUGAUCUUGUUGAUGAAUUUUCAAAGGACUUUGCCUUCCCUGCACAGCCUGCAGCACAACCCAAACCUUCAAAGCCCAGCAGCAUAUCCAAAAAGCCUUCAGAUUUUGUGUCUGCAAAAACCACUGAGAAUAAAGUAGUCCCUCGUGCCACAGCUUGCACGGUGCAGUCUUCAGCUCCACCAGCCCUGUCUGCAGUUGGUCAUGUAGCAGAUGAAGCACUGGAAGCCUUGUCCAGCAGCCUGGGAAAGAGGAAGCCUGAUCCAGGUGAAAAAAAUCCUGCUAUGGACAAAGUUAAGGAGAAAACCAAAACAGAACAACACAAAAAACUGGGUGAAGAUGAAGAAACUAUUCCUCCAUUAACAGGAGCUGAAGAUAAAGAUGGAAAACGACUCUUACCAAAACCGGAAGAAAAGCCACAGCCAAUGAGUGAAAAUGAUCUUUUAGAGGGUUUGACAGAAGGAUUUUCCUGUUCUCCAUCACCACCUGCACCAUUACCUACGUCAACUGUACAAAAGAAAACCAAGGAGGGUGGGAAGCCCGUGGUUUCCUCGGAUGUUAUCUCUGCUGCUACAGUUUCGACAGUGCACUCUGCAGCUCCACUGUCUUCUGCCUCAGGAGGAAAAGAGAUGGAUGAAGCCUUAGAUCUCCUGUCUGAUUCCCUGGGACGGAGGGAGCCUGACCCUGAUGAGAACAAACCAGUUGUGGAUAAAGUAAAGGAAAAGGUUAAAUCUGAACACAGAGAAAAACUUGGAGAAAGAGAUGAUACCAUACCACCUGACUAUCAAAAACUUCUGGAGUCAGGUGAUCAGGGUAAACCAGCAAAGCCAACAGCAAAGGAGGACAUAAACCACAAAGGACAAAAGAAGCCUAGAGAUGACAGUGCAGCUAUUGAUGCCUUAUCGGGUGACUUUGACACUUGUGCAAAUGCUCCUGCUACACCACAGCACUCAAAGUGUAGGACAAAAGUGGAAAGGAAACCACGACGACUAAACCAACCUCAAAGAACAAAGGAAAACCCAGAGACCCUAAAACGGCAAAGGGACAGUCCUCCAGCAGCAAAUCUGAGAGGCAGAAAACAAGCUAAACAUUAAAACAUUAUCAGGUGAGAUUUAUUCUUCUCUGGGCUACUACGAAGAUAACUCAUGUUCAUGUUAUUAAGCACUCUGACUUUUCUUUGGCUUUCUUCCCCCCAGGAUCCUGGCACAUCGUGUAAAAUGUCUUCUUUCUGUGGGUGGAUAGUUACUCCUGAAGAACAAAAACUGAUGCUGAAAGCGCAUGGUUAUUCUGGGUGGUUUUUGUACAGCGAUACUUGCUGGACUUUUUUUUCAUCUUUCCUUUUUCCCCAGUAGUAGGCUUGGGUGGUUUGUUUCUUUCCCUUACCCAGUCAGUUCAUUAUAGUCUGACUGUUUUUUUAAUUUCCUUUAGUGUUCAGAAGGAAAGAAUGCUUCUAUUUGCAAGAAAUAUAUUCCAUCAAUGAAGAGCAAUGCCAAAAAAAAAUUUCUGCAGACUUUUGCACAUAACCUCCACAUAGUGCCUGUAACUCUCUGAAGAGUUCAUAUGUGCUAGCAUUUUUAACAUUGUGGUGAAUGCCUUAAGUGUUCUGGAAUAUAGUGAGCUUUAGUUAUCCUCAGCUGGGGCUGUGCAGGCUUCGCUCAGGCCGGAUCCUGGUAGGAAAACCACAGGUCAUCUGUGGGUGGAUAAAGGCUGAGAAACUGGGGAUUAGCUGCUUCUUCCAGCACAUCUGGUAAUAAAGCAGGUAUUUGGGAUGCUGCCUUAACUGUAGUUAAAUACACUAGGACAGAAUUUUUUAUUCCCCUCCCCCCCCCAAUUCCCCCAAUUGUAUCUGUACUGUUAUAUCAUAAUUUCAGGAGUCUCCUGGACUGAACAAACACAAGUCUUAAUGUAACAGUGACACUGCUACCAUCACAGAAGGGGAAAUUGAGAAGGGGCAAUGACUCUUGGCCGAAAUCAAAGUUCAGGUCCAGAGGUAGACUCUUUUUUUUUUUUUUAAAUCUUGUUUUGCACUGUUUCUAGUCCUUCUGUUCCUCGCACUCCAGCAGGGAAUGCAGAAAUAGGGCCGAAGUUAACGCUGCAGGGAACAGUCUCAUUUUCCUGCCCUGCGAGAGAACAGGCACAGGCAGGUGCGUCUCACGGGUCUGCUGCAGCCAGGGCUGUCAUGACAAGUGUCUCCGUGGCUUUCCCUCUGCCUUCCCUCUGCAGAAUAGCCUUUUGCACAUCCUUACACGUGUUACAGCUCCUCCCAUCGGCUGCCAGAGGAAGGUCUCCUACCAACACCAAAACCCGGCUCUGGGGUGUGGCCCUGGAGGCAGAGACAGCCCGGAGACUGAAGUUGGGGAUAUUUAAGACUCGUGACUCUGCUUCCGGUCUGCACUGUGCCACACUAAUAAAAGUUCUUAAGGAUGCG